AAGGAUUUAAGUUAAAAAAACUAAUAGCCUUCAAAGCUAUAAAUAAAGGAGGCUCUCUUUAAGCCUUA
rnacentral:tRNA from 1 species